rnacentral:rRNA from 1 species
AACGUAGGAGGCGAGCGUUAUCCGGAUUUACUGGGCGUAAAGCGUGUGCAGGCGGUCGGGUAAGUUGGAUGUGAAAGCUCCUGGCUUAACUGGGAGAGGUCGUUCAAUACUACCGGACUUGAGGAUGGGAGAGGGAGGUGGAAUUCCGGGUGUAGUGGUGAAAUGCGUAGAUAUCCGGAGGAACACCAGUGGCGAAAGCGGCCUCCUGGCCCAAACCUGACGCUCAUACACGAAAGCUAGGGGAGCGAACGGG